CAGCAGCCGCGGUAAUACAGAGGGUGCAAGCGUUAAUCGGAUUUACUGGGCGUAAAGGGCGCGUAGGUGGUUAUGUAAGUGAGAUGUGAAAUCCCCGGGCUCAACCUGGGAACUGCAUCUUAUACUGCGUAGCUGGAGUGCAGUAGAGGGUAGUGGAAUUUCCGGUGUAGCGGUGAAAUGCGUAGAUAUCGGAAGGAACACCUGUGGCGAAAGCGGCUCACUGGACCAUUACUGACGCUGAGGCGCGAAAGCUAGGGGAGCAAACAGGAUUAGAUACCCGCGUAGUCCCUGUCUCUUAUAC
rnacentral:rRNA from 1 species